CCUACGGGUGGCUGCAAUUAGGAAUCUUGCACAAUGGGCGAAAGCCUGAUGCAGCGACGCCGCGUGAAGGAUGAAGGAUUUCGGUCUGUAAACUUCUUUUAAGUGGGAAGAAUUUUGACGGUACCACUUGAAUAAGCCCCGGCUAACUACGUGCCAGCAGCCGCGGUAAUACGUAGGGGGCGAGCGUUGUCCGAAGUUACUGGGCGUAAAGCGCGCGUAGGCGGUUAAUUAAGUCUGUGGUGAAAGGUUCAGCGCUCAACGCGAACAUUGCCCUG
rnacentral:rRNA from 1 species